rnacentral:rRNA from 1 species
GGCCUACGGGGGGCAGCAGGCGCGAAAACUUUACAAUGCGGGAAACCGUGAUAAGGGAACUCCGAGUGCCCGUAAAAUCGGGCUGUCCAUCUGUUUAAAUAACAGGUGAAGAAAGGGCCGGGCAAGACCGGUGCCAGCCGCCGCGGUAAUACCGGCGGCUCGAGUGGUGGCCACUAUUACUGGGCUUAAAGCGUUCGUAGCUGGUCUGUUAAGUCUCUGGGGAAAUCUACUGGCUUAACCAAUAGGCGUUUCAGGGAUACUGGCAGACUAGGGACCGGGAGAGGUGAGAGGUACUCCAGGGGUAGGAGUGAAAUCCUGUAAUCCUUGGGGGACCACCUGUGGCGAAGGCGUCUCACCAGAACGGCUCCGACAGUGAGGGACGAAAGCUGGGGGAGCAAACCGGAUUAGAUACCCGGGUAGUCUCU